GAUGAGCUUAGGCACCAUAAACCCACACCAGUUGAUGAAGCUGGGGCAGGUUUGAACAUUGUGGAGCAGUCCCUUUGGAAAGCUGUACCUCAUUAUUUAUGUCAUGUCAACAAUGCUUUAAAGAAGAUUUGUCUUCAAAUUCGUUUCUAGUAUUGAUCUGUUUCCAGUUCUUUAUAUGUAGCUACUACCUUCUGUCUUUCUGUACUUCUUGUCAUAAUGUUUUCUUAAUUUAUUUAUCAGCACACUGGGAAACUGGAAAACCACUUCCAUUGAAAUGCACACCAAUCAGGUUUGGCUCUUGGAUGGGGGGUGGUCGAGAUGGAAAUCCCAAUGUCACAGCAAACUGAGCAAAGGUCACAAAAGAUGUCUCGCUUUUAUCUAGGUGGAUGACUAUUGAUCUCUAUAUUAGAGAAGUGGAUAGCCUGAAAUUUGAACUAUCCAUGAAUUGGUGCAGUAAUAGCUUGUCAAAACUGGCACAAGAGAUUCUAGAGCACAGUAUGACAUAUUGCAGUUAUUUUCAGUGGUCAUUAAUAGUGGCUGCGUGGUAUCAUGUGGAGACUACCAAAGCAUAGCUUCCAUUGUUUUUCUUUGACAAUUUCCUUUACAGAAUGCAAUGGUGGUCAUUCUCACUAUCCCAGAAUUGAAAUGUUGGUCAUUUUAACUGAAGAUUGCAUUGGGGCAGGAAUCUGGUAGACAUGCUGAAACACUUGAUGCAAUUACCAAAUAUUUGGAUAUGAGCACAUACAGUGAGUGAGAUGAAGAAAAGAAACUGGAAUUUCUAACAAGAGAGCUCAAAGGAAAAAGGACCGCUAGUCCCAUCUAGCAUGGAGGAAGAGAAAGUCUUGGUUUACCACUAUUGGCCAAAAUCUUAAACUAUGAAGGUGUGCUCCAUGGGUGUUUGCAUGGACUCGAACCAGGAUCUUCUUUUCUGAUAGGAAGAGCUCUACUGGAAUUGGACAUCUUUGGGCAAUUCCAUGGGUGUUUGCAUGGACUCCAACCAGAUUUGUUCUUCCAGCUUGGGUGGAGUUGAACCAGGUUUAAGGGGAGUUUGUGAGAAGGGACACACUGAAGACUUGAAAGCCAUGUACCAAGCUUCUUGAACCCCAAAGACGUUGAUGAAGUCCAAUUAGAGGAAGAGCCUCCAACUCAACUGCUAGACGGGGAAAAUUUUAAAGCUAGCAAGUACUGAAGACAUUCCUAGCAUGACAUGAAAACACGAGACUGUUUUAUUUGAAAUCUUCUGUUAGAAUCAUUAGUAUUCAGAUCUUUGGUUGAUGCCCUACUGACCCAGAAUGUUGAUGGGAAUUCACAUUUUUGACUGCUAGUAUCAUCUGUGGAGCAUAAUUGUUUGCUGUUGUAUCAGAUGAAUUCAAUUCACCAUGCCCUACCGAAGAGAUUUCUGCUUAAAGUUUUCAUUUGGUAGAAGCAGAACUAGUAUAUCUGGAAUGGGAUUAGCAGAGUCUAAUUAUGCUCCACCCUUGUACGAGUUUGUAAUUACUUAGGUCAUUACAUAUUUUUAACAAGUGCUACUGGCCAUUUGUUCUGUUGGAUAGUUUUGGGUGUUUAGGUUUGGAUGAUUAACAGUAACUGCUAUGCCAUCUGUUCUGUUUCAUUUUUAUGCUUUCAUCUUAAAAUUGAGUUGAGCAUAUUCA